rnacentral:rRNA from 1 species
AGGCCACGAUGCAUAGCCGACCUGAGAGGGUGAUCGGCCACAUUGGGACUGAGACACGGCCCAAACUCCUACGGGAGGCAGCAGUAGGGAAUCUUCGGCAAUGGACGAAAGUCUGACCGAGCAACGCCGCGUGAGUGAAGAAGGUUUUCGGAUCGUAAAACUCUGUUGUUAGAGAAGAACAAGGAUGAGAGUAACUGUUCAUCCCUUGACGGUAUCUAACCAGAAAGCCACGGCUAACUACGUGCCAGCAGCCGCGGUAAUACGUAGGUGGCAAGCGUUGUCCGGAUUUAUUGGGCGUAAAGCGAGCGCAGGCGGUUUCUUAAGUCUGAUGUGAAAGCCCCCGGCUCAACCGGGGAGGGUCAUUGGAAACUGGGAGACUUGAGUGCAGAAGAGGAGAGUGGAAUUCCAUGUGUAGCGGUGAAAUGCGUAGAUAUAUGGAGGAACACCAGUGGCGAAGGCGGCUCUCUGGUCUGUAACUGACGCUGAGGCUCGAAAGCGUGGGGAGCAAACAGGAUUAGAUACCCUGGUAGUCCACGCCGUAAACGAUGAGUGCUAAGUGUUGGAGGGUUUCCGCCCUUCAGUGCUGCAGCUAACGCAUUAAGCACUCCGCCUGGGGAGUACGACCGCAAGGUUGAAACUCAAAGGAAUUGACGGGGGCCCGCACAAGCGGUGGAGCAUGUGGUUUAAUUCGAAGCAACGCGAAGAACCUUACCAGGUCUUGACAUCCUUUGACCACUCUAGAGAUAGAGCUUCCCCUUCGGGGGCAAAGUGACAGGUGGUGCAUGGUUGUCGUCAGCUCGUGUCGUGAGAUGUUGGGUUAAGUCCCGCAACGAGCGCAACCCUUAUUGUUAGUUGCCAUCAUUCAGUUGGGCACUCUAGCAAGACUGCCGGUGACAAACCGGAGGAAGGUGGGGAUGACGUCAAAUCAUCAUGCCCCUUAUGACCUGGGCUACACACGUGCUACAAUGGGAAGUACAACGAGUUGCGAAGUCGCGAGGCUAAGCUAAUCUCUUAAAGCUUCUCUCAGUUCGGAUUGCAGGCUGCAACUCGCCUGCAUGAAGCCGGAAUCGCUAGUAAUCGCGGAUCAGCACGCCGCGGUGAAUACGUUCCCGGGCCUUGUACACACCGCCCGUCACACCACGAGAGUUUGUAACACCCGAAGUCGGUGAGGUAACCUUUU